UAUAAGUCCCAGCAUGCCCAUAAGGGAAUGCUGGGAGUUGCGGUGGUCUGCCUCCUGCUGUUGCAUAACUACAGCUCCCAGCAUGCCCUUUUUGCAUGCUGGGAGCUGUUGCUAAGCAACAGCAGGAGGCUGUCACUCACCACCAACUGCUGCUCCACGCCGCCGCACACAGGUGUAAAGCAUGAAAGGGCAGUAAAUGAGCCUAGAUUCUUCUAAUUCCAGUCAUUACAACAGAAGUGGGUCCUCCACAGUAAUGUACUGCACACAGCAGUCCGAGCUGCACUAAAGAAAAGAGAAGCAAGGAGAGACCUUUGGACUGGAAAGAAAAAUUUACAUUCUGGACCUUGCAAUGUAAACAGUCAUCCAUCACCAUUACACUACCAGCACUGCCUGUAAUUUAAGAGCCGCAUUCUACAGCAAUUCCUUUGGAGCAAGCUCUCUAGGCCCCAGGCGAUAGAAGGCCAGGAUACAGAACCCAACCCCAUUGGAAAAGAAGAAAAAGAUUAGUGGAGGCUAAAAUAAGCAGAUGCUGCAUGGUCAAGACCCUGGAGUUGGCCACAAAUACUAGCACUAAUAAAAACAUGUCUGCCAGGGACACUGUUUAUCCUGAUAAAUUAUUCUUCUAACACAUCCUCUUAUUUAGGUGCCAUGUUCUAUCUUUUUUGAGAAGGCAAAUCUAUCAUGCUGCCAUGAAUAACCAUCACCAAUCAACUUAACCCAUGAAGGAUAGUGGCUUAUCAAUCACCCCGCUCCUGAGAGGCACUGGGAACA